rnacentral:rRNA from 1 species
AGAGUUUCGAGUCCUGGCUCAGGAUGAACGCCGGCGGCGUGCUUAACACAUGCAAGUCGAACGACCCAUAUUGAACCUAGUGAUAUAUGGGUUAGUGGCGGACGGGUGAGUAACGCGUGGGUAACCUGCCUUACACAGGGGGAUAACACUUAGAAAUAGGUGCUAAAACCGCAUAAGCGCACAGCUUCGCAUGAAGCGGUGUGAAAAACUCCGGUGGUGUAAGAUGGACCCGCGUCUGAUUAGCUUGUUGGCGGGGUAACGGCCCACCAAGGCGACGAUCAGUAGCCGGCCUGAGAGGGCGGACGGCCACAUUGGGACUGAGACACGGCCCAGACUCCUACGGGAGGCAGCAGUGGGGAAUAUUGCACAAUGGGGGAAACCCUGAUGCAGCGACGCCGCGUGAGUGAAGAAGUAAUUCGUUACGUAAAGCUCUGUCAGCAGGGAAGAAAUACUGACCUUACGGUCAGCAGACGGUACCUGAGUAAGAAGCCCCGGCUAACUACGUG